GGUUUGGUGGUGCAGUUGGUUUAUCACUUCUGUCUAACCCACUUUGCACAUGUACAUGGACAGUCCCCAGUUCGAACCCGGGUCGAAUCA